CCAGGAGGAGGGAGUGCAAACGCAAGGCAGAAGAGGGGAGAAAAGGACGAGUGCAGCAGUUCGGCUUCAUGGCUGAUUUGAUUUAUUUUGUUGCUCUCAAUUCAAGUAUGUUUAACUAAUUUUCUUAUAUUAAAAUUAAGGAUGAAACCCUAUUCAAUGAAAUAAUUAUCUUUUUAUUUAAUUAAUUCCCUAUAUAUGUACAUCAUCCCAGGUUCGUCAAUUUCUGUUUAGAUUUUGGUAAUAUUAGUCCUCUGCCUCAAACUCAGUGACACUAACUUAUCUUUAUUUCUUUAUCUGUAAAGGAAAAGAUGCUCGUUGGCGUACAGAACUUUCAGGGCAGGUAAUUAGUAAUGAAGUGUUUGCUUCAUUUUCAAUUUGGUUAAGUUGAACUUGGUACCUUGUUAUUUGUUUUUUUAACACCAAUUUCAUUUUUUCCCCCAUUUUAUCUUACGUGAAAUUUAUAAUUUUCACACUCCCCAGGUUCAAUAUGUCUGGUUGUGUGCUUCCUUCCCUCAACAACCUCAAUGCGAAGAGAGCUGGGACAUGUCGAAUGGGAUUUUUUUUAAUUUUUAAUGAUGGUCUCUGCUGAAAACAGCAGGUUUUGCAGUUUCAGAGGUUGCUUUCAGCUGUCAUAAAGGCACUGUUCUCAUAUGAAAUGUGUUUGAUCCAUUUUUGUGGCUUUCUACGAGGUGUAAUGCGUUAUGACGAUCAGUUAAGUUUCCGAGCUUUGCAUUUUUAUGCUUCUUUUAGGACUACUAUGAGCUUGUAAAGUCAGUUUCAUAUAAAAAUCCGUAAUUUGAAGUUUUUUUAGUGCCUUUACAUUUGUACUCUUAAUUUCCACAUUCUGGAUGUUUUCAUAUAAUGCGAAAUAAAUUUUUGUUCAAGCAUGAAGAGUCACGUUUCCGAGUUAAUUGCAGCCUGCCAGGACCUUACAGACAUGAUAUGCCAAGACUGUGAAAGCAAUCCCUCGGACGAAAAUUUCAUCAGAUUUAUACAUUGAAGCUUUAAACAUAGGAUGCCUUCACCAUUCUGAAAUUACGUGUUUAUACUGACUCACGCAGCAAACUGCCUUACCUUGUACUAAGAAAUGAAGAACAUAGACGUUACAUUAAACAAUUAUGUAAAUAGAGAUUAAAAAGCCUGUCUUCCUUUGCUCACUCUCUUAGUCUUCGGCAGUAACGUUCCAUUUCUUUGUUCCAGAGCAUUCCUCUUCACACAUUAGCUCUAUCAAGACAGAUCAAACAGAAAAAGGUCAUGUGGUACAA
rnacentral:lncRNA from 1 species